AUGAAUGAAGCUCCAUUGGCGCCGUAUUCGGAGGAGGAAGUUAAACGGGCGUUGUUCAGUAUCGGUGAUCUAAAAGCGCGCGUCCCAGACGGGCUACAUGCGAUCUUUUAUAAGAAGUUUUGGCACCUAUUGGGCCAAGAUUUGGUGAAGGAGGUUUUGGAGGCAGUGAACAAUGGAGUUAUACCUCCGGGAUGGAAUACUACCACUAUUGUUUUGAUCCCAAAGGUGGAAAACCCGGAGAAAGUAGCGGAGUUUAGGCCUAUUAGCCUUUGUAACGUAGUUUACAAGGUUAUCUCAAAGAUGUUGGCAGCAAGGUUAAAAGUCUUUCUUCCAGAGAUUAUCAGUGAGACACAAAGCGCCUUUGUACCAGGGCGGAUCAUCACGGAUAAUGUCAUUGUGGCGUAUGAAUGCCUCCAUACAAUGAAGAAGAAGAAGAAAGGGAAGAUAGGAACGUGUGCAGUAAAACUUGACAUGCAUAAAGCCUAUGACCGGGUUGAAUGGGUAUUUCUGAAGGCAAUCCUGGGCAGAUUGGGCUUUGAUGAAAGAUGGAUUGAUCUAAUCAUGGCUUGUGUGACAUCUGUUGAAUACAAGGUGCGGUUCAACUCAAAUGAGACUGGCACGUUUAACCCAACAAGAGGUUUAAGGCAAGGGGACCCUCUUUCCCCCUACUUAUUCCUACUUUGUGUUGAGGGCCUCUCAAAUCUGAUUGCACAUGAGGAGGAGGCAGGAAAUUUAAAAGGGGUUCAGGUGUGUCCUGAUUCACCGUUUAUUUCACAUUUACUAUUUGCUGAUGACUCUUUGAUCUUGAUGAGGGCUGACCUAGAAAAUGCAAACACCCUCAAACAAAUACUGGAUGACUACUGUUCGGCCUCCGGACAGAUGGUGAGUGCAGCAAAAUCGUCAAUUUAUUUCAGCCCCAAUACUGAUGUGGACAGUAAAGUGGGCGUAUGUCAAACUUUGGAUAUCAUGACGGAAUCACUCUCGGAUAAAUACUUGGGUCUCCCCUCCAUGAUUGGGGUGGACCGAGUGGACUGUUUUAAGCACAUCAUCGAGAGGAUCCAGAAGAUGAUCAAUGGAUGGAAGGAGAGGACCCUGUCCUAUGGUGGUAAAGAAGCUUUAAUCAAGGCGGUGGCCCAAGCCAUCCCUACGUAUGCGAUGAGUUUUUUCAAAUUCCCGAAAAAAAUUUGCAAGGGGAUCACUGAUGCCAUUUUGCAUUACUAGUGGGGUGACGGGGAAAACCAACGUAACAUGCAUUGGUUCGCUUGGUGGAAGAUGUGCAUUCCUAAGGAAAGAGGGGGCAUGGGGUUUCGUGAUGUCCAUAGCUUUAAUUUGGCACUCCUAGCUAAACAGGUUUGGAGGCUUGUUGAGCACCAUGACUCAUUGUGUGCAAGGGUGCUCCGUUCAAAAUACUACCCAACGGGAGAAUUGCUGAAUUGUGAGCUCAAGAAGGGGGCCUCUUUUGUGUGGCAAAGCAUAUGGGCAGGAGCCCAAACUUUCAAGAAAGGGUGUAUAUGGAGGGUUGGUAACGGCUUGAAGUUGAAUAUUUGGGAAGAUUGCUGGAUUCCCAACAGCUCAACAAGGAAAAUUGUGAUGCCCCGAGGAAACAGAGUUUUAACUCGAGUUAAUGAACUUAUCGACCCAGGCUCUGGGGAAUGGGAUGAAUAG
rnacentral:rRNA from 1 species